rnacentral:rRNA from 1 species
GACGAACGCUGGCGGCGUGCUUAACACAUGCAAGUCGAACGGAAAGGCCCUGCUUUUGUGGGGUGCUCGAGUGGCGAACGGGUGAGUAACACGUGAGUAACCUGCCCUUGACUGUGGGAGAACUUCAGGAAACUGGGGCUCAUACCGGAUAUGAGCUCCUGCUGCACGGUGGGGGUUGGAAAGUUUCGGCGGUUGGGGCUGGACUCGCGGCUUAUCAGCUUGUUGGUGGGGUAGUUGCUUACCAAGGCUUUGACGGGUAGCCGGCCUGGGAGGGUGACCGGCCACAUUGGGCCUGCGAUACGGCCCAGACUCCUACGUGAGGCAGCAGUGGGGAAUAUUGCACAAUGGGCGGAAGCCUGAUGCAGCAACGCCGCGUGCGGGAUGACGGCCUUCGGGUUGUGAACCGCUUUCGCCUGUGACGAAGCGUGAUUGACGGUAAUGGGUAAAGAAGCACCGGCUAACUACGUG